rnacentral:snRNA from 1 species
AUCGCUUCUCGGCCUUUUGGCUAAGAUCAAGUGUAGAAUCAUUGAAUCCAUAUGAAAAAAAUUCAAAGGGAAAAAAAUUACUCCAGAAUGGUUACAUUUUACAUUUGUCAACAAAACAAAAUUUUGGAUCCUCUUU